rnacentral:lncRNA from 1 species
CCCAGAAAGGCUCUGCUAGGCUAUUCUAGCAAAAGAGUAAACAUCAAAAUUUAUCAUGAGCUUUCACAGGCUCAGAGAGAACAGAGUACAAAAUGGGACAACAGGAAAAUGCAGAAACACACUGAUGGUGGAAGAUUAUUACAGAAGUUAAUUUCAACAGAUGCCUUUAGCAUGUCAAGCGUUUCAAAAUGUAGAAUUAUCAGCCUUCAGUGACCCUCGUCUAGGUUCCUGGAAUCCAUGACUCCACUCCUACCUAAGAAGCUUAUGGCUGUUAAAGAAGGAGGAGGAGUCCUUUUUAGUCAAUGGAACUUACCAGUGCAGGCAAACGGGAUAAAGGGAAGAAAUCUCUUUGCGAAUUUUGCAUCUUUCCUCUAGGAUAUUAGCUACUUUGAAUGCCAUCACUAAACUGGAUUUUGAAAACUGUCUUAGUUGAUUUUCUGAUGUUCUCUUUUUCAUCUUUGUAGACCAACCCAACCUCAAUAUGGGCAGAAAAAUAGGGAAAGAUCUAGUUCAAAGCAACUAUGACAUAAGCAAGCCCUCUAGUUUUGGUAAACUUCGUGUUACAAUGAUGAGGAAACACAUGAAUUCAUAAACAAACAAACAAACAAACAAAAAGAAAAACCUGAAAUAUCCAAAAUCUCUCUUUUACACUACACUGGAAAUAAUAGUAUGU